GGCCUCCGGCUAGUGGUUGCCAUUCGGUCAUACCCUUGUCCGGUGGUCCUCCUCGCGGGGAGGCCGCGGGUCUUCACUGGCUCGCGGAUUCGAACCGUGACGUUUACUUUGAAAAAAUUAGAGUGUUUAAAGCAAGCGUACGCUUGAAUACAUUAGCAUGGAAUAACGGAAUAGGACGCUUGAUUCUAUUUUGUUGGUUUCUAGGAUCAACGUA
rnacentral:rRNA from 1 species